AGCGAACGCUGGCGGCAGGCCUAACACAUGCAAGUCGAACGGAUCCUUCGGGAUUAGUGGCGGACGGGUGAGUAACACGUGGGAACGUGCCCUUUGGUUCGGAACAACUCAGGGAAACUUGAGCUAAUACCGGAUGUGCCCUUCGGGGGAAAGAUUUAUCGCCAUUGGAGCGGCCCGCGUCUGAUUAGCUAGUUGGUGAGGUAACGGCCCACCAAGGCGACGAUCAGUAGCUGGUCUGAGAGGAUGAUCAGCCACACUGGGAAUGAGACACGGCCCGGACUCCUACGGGAGGCAGCAGUGGGGGAUCUUGCGCAAUGGGCGAAAGCCUGACGCAGCCAUGCCGCGUGAAUGAUGAAGGUCUUAGGAUUGUAAAAUUCUUUCAGCGGGGACGAUAAUGACGGUACCCGCAGAAGAAGCUCCGGCUAACUUCGUG
rnacentral:rRNA from 1 species